GAACGCACAUUGCGCCCUCUGGUAUUCCGGAGGGCAUGCCUGUUCGAGCGUCAUUAUGACCAAAUCACCCCCGUGGUGGACUUGGAGCUGGCCUAACUGGCCUCUCUUAAAAUCAGUGGCGGUGCUCUUAAGCUCUACGCGUAGUAAUUUUCUCGCGACAGGUCUUAGGUGUUACUUGCCAACAACCCCAACUAUUAUAAGGUUGACCUCGGAUCAGGUAGGGAUACCCGCUGAACUUAAG
rnacentral:misc_RNA from 1 species